rnacentral:lncRNA from 1 species
GGUGAGUUAACAAAACUUAAAGAAGAACUUGUGUAAGCAUCUGAUGCCUCCUUGCUACAUUGCGAACUCCAACCAGUUUUCAGUGCAAUCUGUGAGGCUUGUGGAUUCCCCAGAUCAAAACCCCAACUUCUUAGAGAAAGAAUGAGGUUGAAGAGAAGGAAGGAGGAGUGGGGCUUACCACAGGCUGUGAGCAUCCCAUCCAGAGUCUUGAAUCAGUGCCCACACACUGAGUGCGUUGUUGGCCUUUUAAACUGGUGUUAUGUAAAUACAUUAUGUUAUAUUUAUCUUAAGCUGCUGCAGUCUAUAAAUAUUCAAGUGUCUGCUGCCAUUUUUAUGAAUGUAAGUAAGACCCAUGUUGCACUAAUGGCAGUUAUGUUUUCAAUCACAGAUGGGGAAGAAUCUCAAGAGACACUUAAAAGCAUGGAGGGUAUUAAACAUCCAAUAGGCAAAAAAUCCUAAGGCUUAAAGAAGGAAAAUAACCAGUUUUAAAGGGAACAUUGCAGGUAACCAACUCUGCUCAUAUACUUUCUGCACCACAAUCACAGUAAGCUGGAAACUUCUCCAAAAAAGCAUAAAUAUUCCAUUCUGUAAUAUAUAACCUUCUGUGAGACAUGGUAAUUUAGCUCUGCCACCAUGUGUGCAUGUACCACUGAGUAGUCAUAGGCAGGGGUACUGCCUAUGUGAGUUGUUCAGUCUCUCUGAAAAACAAUGAAUGUCUCCAGCGUGUUUGUUCUUCAAGAUGUAAGGUUGCUCUGAAAGUAACACCUCCUAUUUAUUUCCAUGGAAUCUACAACUGAUAGAAUAACGCUAUUUGAUAGAGCAGAUUUUCAGCUGUUGGAACUGUUUUCCAACGUAGUCACCAACAUUACUUAAGCAUUUUCACCAGCAAUGACCAAGGGUCUGCAUGCCAUGCUCAUAAAAAUCUGUACCCAGUGGAGGUGACUCAUUGUGCCGCUUGCUCCCUUGUGCCUUGCAGCAAUCAGGAAAGCUGGGAUUCAGCCACCUUCCUGCCCUAGCACCUGUGCAGAAUGCCUUAUUGUCCAAUGCAUGUGCUUUUCUAAGCAGUGUGUGAUUUCUUUCUGCUAGCUAUCAAGAGUGUCCCAUUAGAUGUUUGUAAUGCAGUACUUUGCUAAAUAGCGUGAUUUGGUCAUCCUCCUACUCCUUGCCUGGAAACUUCUCAAAUUCUUUUAACAUCCAUUAGUUUUGUAAUUAUUCAAAUUAAUUAGGUCAUUAUCAGCGGAGAAAUAAAUUUCUCUUUUCCCUACAUGCAAAAUAAUUGUUCUGAUACAGUAUUUCUGCCACAAAAACUCUGAGAUUGACAGGCUGGGAUGGUGACCGUGGCAGAAGACCUUGCAGACGCAGCUCUCUCAUCUGAACAUCCUUUUUACUCUACAGUAGAAACAAUGAGGAGAAUAAUUUACUUUCAUGAAAAUCCUACUGAGCGUGAAUGAGCAAAACAGAGAGAACUCUCCUUAGCUGGGAUCUUCGUGGUGUGCUGUGCCUCACUUCAGAUUGCCACACUGACCUCGAUGUUUAGGAAGGAUACCAUUAUUUAAAAAUAAUUCCAGUAUGCCAUGGAUGGCAUUUGCUAUCAGCAGGGUGCUCAGAGAUCCUACACUUUGAAGGAAGACACAGUCAUUGAAUUGCCAUGAUGUACAUACUCCUUACUGUUUUUGGACACUUGGCAAUCUGAUACGAUUUAUCUGUGCAGAAAACUUCCUGGAUUGGAACAGCAUCACUGUAAGGUGUUCCCCAAAAGAGAGUUCAAAGCUGAUUGAUUGACAUACAAAGAAAACUGCUGUAAUAGACAACAAAACAGAUGUAAAAACUCUAGGCCAGCAUCUUGCUCUCAGGAAAAAGUUACAGUAGCUGUUCUAGCAAAGCUUUAGUUUCAUUAGAAUGCUAGAUUGGCAGCUCAGAUGUAUGUAAAUUGUACUUUUCAAAGCAGGUGUUAAUGUAGCUCCAUUACUACAGCCUCCUGGAAAUUAUUUACAGACAAUCUUAUGUUCUCAUGUUUCCCAUGCAGAAAAACUGCAUGCACUGUCUGCCUAGCAAUCAGUGUUUCCUGCUGUCAAACCUCAACAUCCUUUUCUAUACCAUGUUGCUGAUGCUCUUCACCAAGCAUCAGCUCGAUUGGAAGUAAAAGGAAAAAAGCUGGGGAGGAAGUAUUCUUAGGGCAGGGUUAAAGUUGUGUUACUGUUCUCAGGAGGGAAUGAAAAUACAAUGGACUCAAUCCAGACUUGUAUGCAUAGGCUACUGAUAACACAACCAGUGAGAGCAAAAUUAAUUUUCUCCAUCUGUCUUACAGUGAAAAAUGCUGCGAGUGUCAGAAGAAAUAUGUACUGCAUGGUACUAAUGUGUAAAGUUAUAUAAACAGCAAACAAACAACAGCAAGAAUUGAAGUUGAAUCAGUUCACCGGGUACAGGGUAAAAUCCAUAAGCUCUCAUUCUAAAAGUCCAUUGAUUUAUUCAGAAAUAUGUAUUACUGACUGAAGGAAUGAGCGCUAUAGGAUUGCCCCUCACCCUCCACCCAUAGUCCAAAUCAAGUGAAAAAUAGGUGAAGGGAGUGAAGCAUUCAUGAGAAGCGGUUCUUGAGAUGGUGCACAGCACAUUUAGCAUUUGGGAUUUAUGACUUAAUGUGGCAGCGGUACCACAUAAUGCAUAUGUAGUUGAAUAUAUGCUCAAGUUCACUGCUUCUCUGAUGGAAAUAAAAGUUCUUCAACUGAGCCCCAGCUCAUGAACUGCAUUACAAUACGACUUAUACAGAGAAGAGGUCACAGCCUUCUCUUGAAGCUACCUGAAUACUGAACAGGAAUGAGGAAGUAUUUAUCUGCUUAUGAAGUGUCCUGGGUACGUGCGCUACAUCCAGUCUAGAGCAUGUAUAAGCCAUUUGUUUGAGGCAGUGAACAGCAUCCCCAAGUGCCACACGAUGGCAGCCUCUCAGAGGACUGAAAGCUUAAAAGGCCAUUCCUGGUGGUGCAGCCUAAAUUUUAAGCCUGAAGAUAGAAUUUAC